rnacentral:rRNA from 1 species
GACAGAGGUGGCGAGCGUUGUUCGGAAUCACUGGGCUUAAAGGGCGAGUAGGCGGUAGGGCAAGUCUGAGGUGGAAUCCUAUGGCUCAACCAUAGAACUGCCUUGGAAACUGUUCUACUUGAGUCAGUGAGGGGAGGGCGGAAUUCCCGGUGUAGCGGUGAAAUGCGUAGAUAUUCUGAGGAACACCGGUGGCGAAAGCGGCACGCUGGGUCUUUUCUGACGCUGAGGCACGAAAGCUAGGGGAGCAAACGGG